CUGUUGGAAUUUUCUUCUGAAAAGUCUCAGUCCUGCAGCUCCAACUCAUCGGGGACUCAGGAACCAUAAUGGUUCACAAUUUUCUUUGUGCAGAAGUGCAAUAUUUCCCCAAGUCUGCAAAGCUUUGACCUUUGGUGCUGGUUCAUGGUAUGUGGGUAGCCAUGAACCACAGACUAUCACCCCCCCCAAAAAACCCAACCCCAAACUGGAUUGCUGUUUGUUUUUUGGGUUUUGCCACCGGGGAGGGCAGCCACUUACCGUUUCCUCUCACUGCCCCAUCAUCAUCUUGUCUUGUCCUGAAAUUGCCAUCACACCACCAUCUUGGAAAGGCAGGGUUUGCAGCUCCUUGCCCUGAAGCUGAGCCUGCUUCCUCUCAAGAUGGUGGCCGUGGAAGGCCUUCCAAGACAAAGCAUAGCUGAUCAGAUGACUUCCAAGGAUGAUGCAGUUUGGAUGCUCCAAAGCCCAGAAACUUCCCUGAGCUACACCUGGAAAGGGAUCCAAAAGUACACCAGAAUCUCCACUUUGAACUGAUGGCAGAAAAGAGGAGGUUGAAAUUAUUGAGAGACCUCUUGAUGGAGCCCCUACAGAACUGUCAAGUACUUCUUUCCAUCAAGUCCUCUGGGGACGAAUAUCAGAAUGGAAAGAGGCCACCUUUUGACCACUGGUGUCUC